GUACACGCUGUGACUAGCAUAUCAAUAAGCGGAGGAAAAGAAACUAACAAGGAUUCCCUCAGUAACGGCGAGUGAAGCGGGAAGAGCUCAAAUUUGAAAUCUUGAAAGGUCACCUUUCACGAAUUGUAGUUUAAAGAAGUGUUUUCUGUUACGAUCGUAAUAUAAGUUCUUGGAAUAGGACAUCACAGAGGGUGAGAAUCCCGUCUAUGAUUGCGAUUUGUAGCUUUGUGAUACACUUUCAAAGAGUCGGGUUGUUUGGGAAUGCAGCCCAAAACGGGAGGUAAAUUUCUUCUAAGGCUAAAUAUUGGCGAGAGACCGAUAGCGAACAAGUACCGUGAGGGAAAGAUGAAAAGAACUUUGAAAAGAGAGUUAAAUAGUACGUGAAAUUGUCAAAAGGGAAGCGUUUAACACCAGUGUUGUUUUCUGAAAAUCAACCUCUGUUAGCUUUAUGCAUGUUUGUUUAGAUCUAAUCAGCUAUCUUUCAUGUUCUAUUGUUUGCAGUGGUGCACUUUUCAGUUUACAGGUCAACAUCAGUUUUUUUUACCGUAAAAAAGUUAAAGAAAGGUAGCUCAUGGCUCCGGUCGUGAGUGUUAUAGUCUUUUUCCUAUGCGGUAGGAGAGACUGAGGUCUGCAGUGUAGGCUAUUUGGCUAGAUACUCAGGUGCUAUGUGAUACCAUUUCAUAAACAACUUGUUGAUUAUGUUUUGUCUAUUGCAUACUCGCUUGUACUAUCAUACCUACGCUUAGGAUGUUGAGUAGCGACAUACGCAC
rnacentral:rRNA from 1 species